AGAUUGAACGCUGGCGGCAUGCCUUACGCACGCAAGUCGAACGGCAGCACGGGAGCAAUCCUGGUGGCGAGUGGCGAACGGGUGAGUAAUAUAUCGGAACGUGCCCAGUCGUGGGGGAUAACGCAGCGAAAGCUGUGCUAAUACCGCAUACGAUCUAUGGAUGAAAGCGGGGGAUCGCAAGACCUCGCGCGAUUGGAGCGGCCGAUAUCAGAUUAGCUAGUUGGUAGGGGUAAAAGCCUACCAAGGCGACGAUCUGUAGCUGGUCUGAGAGGACGACCAGCCACACUGGAACUGAGACACGGUCCAGACUCCUACGGGAGCAGCAGGUGGGGAAUUUUGGACAAGUGGGCG
rnacentral:rRNA from 1 species